rnacentral:lncRNA from 1 species
GCAGUUGCCGCCAUGGCGCCGCUCCCAGUCCAUGUCCUUUACUGCGGAGCCUGAGGCUACAAACCCAAGUUUGAGCAGCUGCGGCGGGAACUGGAGCGGCGCUUCCCGGGAGCCCUGGACGUGCGCGGCCAGGGCACCCCGGAGGUGACGGGAUGGUUUGAGGUGACCGUGGGGGGACGCCUGGUCCACUCCAAAAAGAACGGCGAUGGCUUCGUGGACAGCGAGCCCAAACUGCGCCGGAUCGCGGCCGCCAUCGAGUCCCGCCUGGCCUAGGCCCCGCUAGGGCAGCGCUGUCGCGACAUGGCGCGAGAGACGGCAGAUAUCGCGAUAGAGCGGGGGGAUCGAUGGAUAUCGCGAUAGAGCGGGUGGGAUCGAUGGGAUAUCGCGAUAUAUUGGCCGAUAUCGGUAGAUAUUGGUAGACGGCAAUGGGUAUCGCGAUAUAUCGGGAGAUAUCGAUGGAUAUCACGAUAUACUGGCAGAUAUUGGUAGACGGCAAUGGGUAUCGCGAUAUAUCGGGAGAUAUUGAUGGAUAUCGUGAUUUAUCAGCAGAGGUUGAUUGAUAUCGUGAUGUACCAGGAAAUACCAGAAGAUACUGGCAGAUAUUGCGAUAUAUGGGGAGAUAUUGAUGGUUAUCGCGAUAUAUCAGGAGAUAUUGGUGGAUAUCGCGAUACGCCAGCAAAUAUCGCCGGAUAUCACGAUAUAUCGGGAGAUAUCACAAUAUAUCGGGAGAUAUCGCCGGAUAUCACGAUAUAUCGGGAGAUAUCACAAUAUAUCGGGAGAUAUCGCCGGAUAUCACGAUAUAUCAGGAGAUAUCACCGGAUAUCGCGAUAUAUGAGGAGAUAUCGCCGGAUAUCGCGAUAUAUCGGGAGCCAUCUCGGGACAUGUCGCGACAGCGCUGCCCCCCCCGGCCCCCCGCCCCCCCCGCUCCAUGACGGGAAUCGCCGAAACGCCGCCGGCACCGGCGCUGCCCCGACCCCGCGCGGGAGGGACGCGGGGCCCAGCCCCCCCAAAACCCCCAAACUUCACCCCAAAAUUCUCACAUCCCACCCAAACCCCCCCCGAUCCCCAGAGUCCCCCAAAAUUUCACCCCAGAUCCCUCAGAGCCCACCCAAAAUCCCAACAUUUCACCCCAAAUCCCUCAAAUCCCACCCUGACCCCUCAGAGCCCACCCAAAAUUCCAAAAUUUCACCCCAAAUCCCACCCAAAAUCCACUCUGACCCCCAGAGCCCGCCCGAAAUCCCAAAAUUUCGCCCCAAAAUUCACAAAUCCCACCCUGACCCCCAGAGCCCACCCAAAAAUCCCAAAAUUUCACCUCAAAUCCCACCCAAAACCCACCCUGAACCCUCAGAGCCCACCCAAACCCCUGAAAUUUCACCCAAAAUCCUGUGGAUCCAACCCAAAAUCUCUCCAUUCCACCCAAAAUCCUCAAAUUUCACCCAAAAUCUCUUUAUUUCACCCAAAACCCUCAAAUCCCACCCAAAACCCUCAAAUCCCACCCAAAGCCCCUCGGAGCCCACCCAAAAUCCCAAAAUUCCACCCCAAAACCCCUCAAACCCACCCAAAACAUUCCAAUAUUUCCUUCCGCCCCAAAUCCUUCAUGUCCCACCCCAAAAAUUUUUUUUUUCCCCUCUCCCAAAAUUCCCCUUUUACCCCCAAAUCCUUCCCCUCGCUGCCUUCGCCGCUGCCGUUUUGGGCCAAAAUCACCUUUUUUUUGGGGUUUUCCUCCUGCGGAGGGCUCCUGGCAGGGUGAAAAAUGGGGAAAAACUCUUUGAAAGCACUGCAAAUGUGUUAUUAUUUCUUUGUUUCCCCGGUUUCUGGGAUCUCUGUGGCCUUUUGGGAAUAAAACUUUGGAAUUUUGAGCCCAAUUUGGGGCUGUUUUUUGGUUUUAAGUGAUUUUAGGGGAAAUUGGAGGGAUGAGGGCUGCGCCUCCUUCCAGGCUCUUCAAAAUUCCAUUUUUUUGUUAAUCCUAAAAAUUGACAGUAUGGAAUUGUGGAAUUUUGGGAAUAAAAGGAUGGCAAAUUGAACUGGAUUUUGGGUUGUUGCAGGGGAUUUUUGGGUUGUUUCAGGGGGAUUUUGGGUUGUUUCAGGGGGAUUUUGGGUUGUUUCAGGGCCUUUUUUUUUUCAGGGGGAUUUUGGGUUGUUUCAGGGGGUUAUGGGUUGUUUCAGGGGAUUUUUUUGGGUUGUUUCAGGGGGAUUUUGGGUUGUUUCAGGGGGAUUUUGGUCAUUUCAGGACAUUUUUUGGAUCAACGCACUCUGAGCUCUUCAAAACUUAAUUCCUUUACUUAACCCUAAAAGAAACCCACAUGAAAUCGUGGAAGCGCUCAUUUUGGGAAUAAAAGACUCAAAAC